ensembl:lncRNA SLC8A1-AS1 SLC8A1 antisense RNA 1
CUCCCUCCAGGGUUCCCCAGUGUCUAUUGUUUGGAUCUUUAUGUCCACGUGUAUGCAAUGUUUAGCUCCCAUUCAUCAUAAGUGAGAACAUGUUGUAUUUGGUUUUCUAUGUUAAUUUGCUUAAGAUAAUAGCUUCUAGCUGCAUCCAUGUUGCCGCAAAAAGUAUGAUUUAUUUAUUUUUUUAAACUUUUAAGUUCAGGGUACAUGUGCAGGUUUGUUACAUAGGCACAUUUUUGUCAUGAGGAUUUGUUGUACAGAUUAUUUCAUCACCCAGGUAUUACGCUGUAUUAGUCUGUUCUCAUGCUGCUCAUAAAGACAUAUCCGAGACUGAGCAAUUUGUAAAGGAAAGGGGUUUAAUUGACUCACAGUUCAGCAUGGGUGGGGAGGCCUCAGGAAAUUUACAAUCAUGGCAGAAGGGGAAGCAAACAUGUCCUUCACAUGGUGGCAGCAAGAAGUGUGGAGUGAAGUGGGGGCAAAGCCCCUUAUGAAACCAUCAGAUCUUGUGAGAACUCACUAUCAUGAGAACAGCAUGGAGGUAAUUAUCCAGUUGAUAUUUAUCUUGUUCCAGUCACCUUUAGAAAGCUGUUUGUAAUUAAUCAAACUCAAUAACAGCACAAAAGUAACAACUCAGGUGAAAAGAAAACUCACUUAUGUCUUCAAUGUCCAAUCAACAUUGCCAAAUGGGAGAACAGUUUUGGAAAUCACUAGUGGGUAAAAAAGACCAAUUUGCAACUAGGCUCUCAUGCUCUGUUGAAAACUAUGUCACAAUAUCACAAUACUAGAUGCUGGGCUCAAGACAGCAAACAGAAAGCAGCAAGGGCAGUGACUGGAAGCUGGGAGAGAGGGUCAACAGCUGAAUCUC